UAAUACGUAGGGGGCAAGCGUUGUCCGGAAUUAUUGGGCGUAAAGCGCGCGCAGGCGGUCCUUUAAGUCUGGUGUUUAAGUGCGGGGCUCAACCCCGUGACGCACUGGAAACUGGGGGACUUGAGUGCAGAAGAGGAGAGCGGAAUUCCACGUGUAGCGGUGAAAUGCGUAGAGAUGUGGAGGAACACCAGUGGCGAAGGCGGCUCUCUGGACUGUAACUGACGCUGAGGCGCGAAAGCGUGGGGAGCAAACAGGAUUAGAUACCCUGGUAGUCCACGCCGUAAACGAUGAGUGCUAGGUGUUGGGGGGGUCCACCCCUCGGUGCCGAAGUUAACACAUUAAGCACUCCGCCUGGGGAGUACGGUCGCAAGACUGAA
rnacentral:rRNA from 1 species